UUGCUAUCUGCGAUAUGGAAGAUUCGAACCUGCUGCAGGUUCGAGCCGAACAGAGUGAGGCACCGGAGCCGUUACGGCGACGGCCCGAAGGGCGAGCGAAGCGAGUCAUCCUGCACGACCCACCA
rnacentral:sRNA from 2 species